UAGAAUUUUAAGUUAUUUAAACUAAAAACCUUCAAAGUUUUCAUAAAAAGACAACCCUUUUAAAUUCUAA
rnacentral:tRNA from 1 species